AGGGCUGUUGUUCAGCAACUUUCUCGUGGUCAGUCACAGGGCUGUUGUUCAGCAACUUUCUCGUGGUCAGUCACAGGGCUGUUGUUCAGCAACUUUCUCGUGGUCAGUCACAGGGCUGUUGUUCAGCAACUUUCUCGUGGUCAGUCACAGGGCUGUUGUUCAGCAACUUUCUCGUGGUCAGUCACAGGGCUGUUGUUCAGCAACUUUCUCGUGGUCAGUCACAGGGCUGUUGUUCAGCAACUUUCCAGUUGGACUAAAAUUGUACUUUCUCCCAAUUUCCUCUACAGUCUGACACGUCUCUGUCCAGCUUUCUUCCAUUGAAAAAUCUAUAUUUUGGAGCUGUGGAAUUGUAGUCAGAUUAAAUCUCUUUUAGAACUCUUAACAGUGUUCAGAUUAAAUAUCUUUUGAACUGAUAUUGUAGUGGGAUUUAAAUUCUAUCAUAUGCAUAUUGCUAUAUUGAAGUAGCCUUGUUGCAUCGUCGUGACUAACUGAAUCUAAUCUCUGUCUAGGACCAGAAAUAGCAGGGCAUUGUACAGUAGAAGAGUUGCAAACAUACAAUGUUUAUCUCAGAGCAGGUACCAUAGAUUUACUAGGAUGGGAAUUCCCAGUCAAGUCAAUGUAACAUGAUUGGUUGACUUGUAUUUCUAUGGCUGGGCCAUUUCAGUCGUUGGCUUGUCAUGAUGGAAUCUACUGGCUUUCUAAUACCUCAGCACUGGUGUUUAGUUUCAGUCAAGUCUCCUUUCUGAAGCACCUGGGACUUGAAAAGGAACAUCCCUGUCCUUUUAACAUGAGACUGAGUCUAAAGGGUUAAAUCUGUUCAGCUUUGACCAAGAUGCCAUGCAGUCAACAGACAGCACGUUCCCAGUUUCUGCAGGAGGACCCCUGGUUUUGAUGCUGCUGUAUCUACAGGCUUUCCUGGUUUGUAAUUCCAGUAGCCUGGCCCCAGAUCUGUGUGUUGUCUGGUCCAACUUGACAAACAGCACAAUAGACCUGGGACCAGGCUAUCAUUCCAAUACGCCAAGGGCCAAACUGUUCUCCAGCUCUCCUUAACUGAUACCUCCACAUGGAGACAGGGGGGCAUUCGGGUUCAAUUUACCCAAUGGUUAAGGGCUCACUGGGUCAUUUACCCAAUGGUUAAGGGCUCACAAUGUAAUUGUGCUUCUGUGUGAUCAUUUGGUUGGAGAAGUCAGUGAGGCACUUUACUGCAGACACUGUGGGCCUUCAGGAACUGGGUCUGCUUGGUAACUUGGUUGUGUUCCAGACAGUGAACAUUUAUAUGGGACGCCAUGUUUCUUGGGCUCCAAAUAGGCUUCUUUCUAUUCCUUAUGUUUUGUUUUUGGAAGCAAAAAGACAGAACGAAAAAAAUGUGGAUUUAUAAGGUGCCUUGUCAUCUUAUACUUUAUACUGGAAAAACAUGUGAUUUGCUUUUUUUUUUAUACAAACGAAACUAACGUUCUAUAAGAACUUAUUUGGCAUUGGAGAUACUUGCCGACAAUGUGAAACAAAUGUAACCAAUCUCUUGUAAUGAGAAUGAUGGUUUUGGGCCUCAGGUUCCCCUACUGGCCCGAUCACCCUGUCAUCGACCUCAGAGAUCACCAGCGUACAUUGUCUUUUGUUUUCUUGUGAAGUCAUAAGGAUGUAAUUCAGAGCACGGCCCCUGAAGUUUUAAACGUGAAUGUUAAGAUGGGUCCAAGCCACGUUUUUGGGGGGGGGGGGUACUGCAUCUUAACCCCCUCCAGUUCAAUACUUUACUGUUGGAUGUAGCCGGAGUCCAUCUGCUUGGGCUAUUAUGCCAACUCAUUGUCAUGCUAAAUGUUUGGCUUGACUGACAGCAAUGAAGUAGGCGAAAAGCACAAACAGACUGGCACUCAGGCUAUUGUGGAUGCCCGCCAGUUAAACUCAGGUUACGUAAAGACAUCUACCUCUGCAGGUGAGAACUGUGAAAGCAGAGCUAGUUCAUGUUCAGAAAGCUUUGGGCCCACAUUCCCCUUUAAGAUUGUGAAAUGUUCUUAUAGUCCCAUCUCUCGCUUUUCAAUAAACUAUUUUGUAGAAUUUCAAA
ensembl:lncRNA